CGCGGGAUAGAGCAGUCCGGUAGCUCGUCGGGCUCAUAACCCGGAGGUAGGCGGUUCAAAUCCGCCUCCCGCAACCA
rnacentral:tRNA from 1 species